GCCAGACUCCUACGGGAGGCAGCAGUGGGGAAUAUUGCACAAUGGGGGAAACCCUGAUGCAGCGACGCCGCGUGAGUGAAGAAGUAUUUCGGUACGUAAAGCUCUAUCAGCAGGGAAGAAAAAAAGUCCUUUGGACUUUGGACGGUACCUGACCAAGAAGCCCCGGCUAACUACGUGCCAGCAGCCGCGGUAAUACGUAGGGGGCAAGCGUUAUCCGGAUUUACUGGGUGUAAAGGGAGCGUAGACGGCGAUGCAAGCCAGAUGUGAAAGCCCGGGGCUCAACCCCGGGACUGCAUUUGGAACUGUGUGGCUGGAGUGUCGGAGAGGCAGGCGGAAUUCCUAGUGUAGCGGUGAAAUGCGUAGAUAUUAGGAGGAACACCAGUGGCGAAGGCGGCCUGCUGGACGAUGACUGACGUUGAGGCUCGAAAGCGUGGGGAGCAAACAGGAUUAGAUACCCGUGUAAA
rnacentral:rRNA from 1 species